rnacentral:rRNA from 1 species
UACAGAGGGGGCCAGCGUUAUUCGGAAUUAUUGGGCGUAAAGAGCGUGUAGGCGGCCCGGUAAGUCCGCUGUAAAAGUCCAGGGCUCAACCCUGGAAAGCCGGUGGAAACUGUCGGGCUAGAGUCCGGAAGAGGCGAGUGGAAUUCCUGGUGUAGCGGUGAAAUGCGCAGAUAUCAGGAGGAACACCAAUGGCGAAGGCAGCUCGCUGGGACGGUACUGACGCUGAGACGCGAAAGCGUGGGGAGCGAACAGG